GGUAAAUGGAUUUUGUUCAUGUUAUCAUUGAAGUGCAGGUGAAGCUUCAUAUAAACAUGACUUAACUCAACAGCAGUGAUUGUGACUAUGAUCUAAAGAAGAGGUCAGCAAAUGGUAGGUCCCCAGAUGUUUUCGAACUGCAACUUCCGUGAUGCUGUGUCAUUCUAAAUGGUGGCAAAACAUCAUGGCAGUUUAAUUCGAUAACAUCUAGGGAUCAACCUUUUUCCCA